GACGAUGGACAUUGCAAAGAGUGGCGAACGGGUGAGUAACACGUGGGAAACCUACCUCUUAGCAGGGGAUAACAUUUGGAAACAGAUGCUAAUACCGUAUAACAAUAGCAACCGCAUGGUUGCUACUUAAAAGAUGGUUCUGCUAUCACUAAGAGAUGGUCCCGCGGUGCAUUAGUUAGUUGGUGAGGUAAUGGCUCACCAAGACGAUGAUGCAUAGCCGAGUUGAGAGACUGAUCGGCCACAAUGGGACUGAGACACGGCCCAUACUCCUACGGGAGGCAGCAGUAGGGAAUCUUCCACAAUGGGCGAAAGCCUGAUGGAGCAACGCCGCGUGUGUGAUGAAGGGUUUCGGCUCGUAAAACACUGUUGUAAGAGAAGAAUGACAUUGAGAGUAACUGUUCAAUGUGUGACGGUAUCUUACCAGAAAGGAACGGCUAAAUACGUGCCAGCAGCCGCGGUAAUACGUAUGUUCCAAGCGUUAUCCGGAUUUAUUGGGCGUAAAGCGAGCGCAGACGGUUAUUUAAGUCUGAAGUGAAAGCCCUCAGCUCAACUGAGGAAUUGCUUUGGAAACUGGAUGACUUGAGUGCAGUAGAGGAAAGUGGAACUCCAUGUGUAGCGGUGAAAUGCGUAGAUAUAUGGAAGAACACCAGUGGCGAAGGCGGCUUUCUGGACUGUAACUGACGUUGAGGCUCGAAAGUGUGGGUAGCAAACAGGAUUAGAUACCCUGGUAGUCCACACCGUAACGAUGAGUGCUAGGUGUUUGAGGGUUUCCGCCCUUAAG
rnacentral:rRNA from 1 species